AACUUUCAACAACGGAUCUCUUGGCUCUCGCAUCGAUGAAGAACGCAGCGAAAUGCGAUAAGUAAUGUGAAUUGCAGAAUUCAGUGAAUCAUCGAAUCUUUGAACGCACCUUGCGCCCCUUGGUAUUCCGAGGGGCAUGCCCGUUUGAGUGUCA
rnacentral:rRNA from 2 species